rnacentral:rRNA from 1 species
AAUUANGAGGCACCCUGGCGGCUUAACCAUGCAAACCGAGGGGUAACAGGAAAGCUUGCUUUUGCUGACGACCGGCGCACGGGUGCGUAACGCGUAUGCAACCUACCUCAUACUGGAGGAUAGCCCCUGGAAACGGGGAUUAAUACUCCAUAGUAUCACGAAUUCGCAUGUUUUUGUGAUUAAAGUUUUUCGGUAUGAGAUGGGCAUGCGUCCCAUUAGCUUGUUGGUGAGGUAACGGCUCACCAAGGCAACGAUGGGUAGGGGGCCUGAGAGGGUGGUCCCCCACACUGGUACUGAGACACGGACCAGACUCCUACGGGAGGCAGCAGUGAGGAAUAUUGGUCAAUGGAGGCAACUCUGAACCAGCCAUGCCGCGUGAAGGAUGACGGCCCUAUGGGUUGUAAACUUCUUUUAUA